AACGAACGCUGGAGGCAUGCCUAACACAUGCGAGUCGAACGAGACCUUCGGGUCUAGUGGCGCACGGGUGCGUAACGCGUGGGAACCUGCCCUUAGGUUCGGAAUAACUCCCCGAAAGGGGUGCUAAUACCGGAUAAUGUCUUCGGACCAAAGAUUUAUCGCCUUUGGAUGGGCCCGCGUUGGAUUAGCUAGUUGGUAGGGUAAAAGCCUACCAAGGCGACGAUCCAUAGCUGGUCUGAGAGGAUGAUCAGCCACACUGGGACUGAGACACGGCCCAGACUCCUACGGGAGGCAGCAGUGGGGAAUAUUGGACAAUGGGCGAAAGCCUGAUCCAGCAAUGCCGCGUGAGUGAUGAAGGCCUUAGGGUUGUAAAGCUCUUUUACCCGGGAUGAUAAUGACAGUACCGGGAGAAUAAGCUCCGGCUAACUCCGUG
rnacentral:rRNA from 1 species